GAUGAACGCUGGCGGCGUGCUUAACACAUGCAAGUCGAACGAAGCACUUUAUUUGAUUUCCUUCGGGACUGAUUAUUUUGUGACUGAGUGACGGACGGGUGAGUAACGCGUGGGUAACCUGCCUUGUACAGGGGGAUAACAUUUGGAAACAGCUGCUAAUACCGCAUAAGCGCACAGCAUCGCAUUAGGCAGUGGGAAAAACUCCGGUGGUAUAAGAUGGACCCGCGUUGGAUUAGGUGGUUGGUGAGGUAACGGCCCACCAAGGCGACGAGCCAUAGCCGAGCUGGGAAGGGGACCGGCCACAUUGGGACUGAGACACGGACCCAACUCCUACGGGAGGCAGCAGUGGGGAAUAUUGCACGAUGGGCGAAAGCCUGAUGCAGCGGCGCCGCGUGAGCGAAGAAGUAUUUCGGUAUGUAAAGCUCUAUCAGCAGGGAAGAUAAUGACGGUACCUGACGAAGAAGCACCGGCUAACUACGUG
rnacentral:rRNA from 1 species